AAAGUUUUUACGUAUAACAAGUGGAUUAGAACUUCACACGCACAUAUAAUAGGAAGUCACUGUCCGUAACAUAGACAGAAUUAUCUCCCUUUUUGAAGUUAGAUAAUUUUGCAUUAUCAAUCACUGUGGAUAGUCAAGCACACAGUCCUGUCGACAGUGUUUAAAUGUUUAUAGCUAAAGUCCGUCUGAUAAUUACACUUCAUUAAUAUUAAUUUGCAAUUAUAUUUCGAGUAUAUUUCUUUGGUAUCAUUUUAUUUCCAUAUUGAAUAUCCCGAUUAAUCUGUUUUGGAUUUUCUAUUUUUUAUUCUUUAUUGUUUAGCUUUUGUACCUCAGUGGAGCUCCUUUAAGGGAACUAUUUGCUGUUUGUGUUAGAAUGAUAAAUUUAAACACAAGGCAAGUAUAGAUAUACCGUGCUGUAAAUUUAGAUGUACUAGUAUAUACUGUUACUACAUAGACAGUAUAACAUAAUUUUUAAUCAAAACAAGUUAUACACCAUAAAUGUAAAUAUGAUUUCAUUAUACCUUCAUACAUAUCCUCAAUAGAAAUGAACAAUUGAGGUAAAAUAUACAUGGCUGUCAGGCGCAAGUGCUUAUUGACUCUUAAACUUACUUUUUUGUCAUCUCGGUUACAUCUAGGGGAUAUAUACCAAUUCCCAGCUCCACUUUGGUAAUAUAUACCAGUUCUAAGCUGCCCCUCGGAUAUGUAUACCAGUUCUGAGGAUAUAAACCAGUCCUCAUUAAAAGUCAGUUCUCUGAGUUGCCCCUCAGGGAUAUAUGCAAGUCUCAGCUAUACCUGAGGGAUAUAUACCAGCUUUCAUAUGUCAAUAUGCUCUUUCACACAGACAGCCAUAUUUUAUAAGUUUAUAUACUGAGAUAUAUUUAUGUUCAUAGAUAAUUUAUGAUAGGUUCAAUUAGAAUUUUUAGUUAAACAAUUUGUCAUAUUUUAGUACCAAGACAUUAUAACAUUAUAGGCAUACAUAAGUUAUAUUUCUGCUGAUGUUAACAUAAUUAUGAUAUGUUAUUUUACAUGUAUUGUAAAACAUAUGUUACAUGAAAUAACUCAAAAGUUAUAUACCAAGAUUAAGAUAUGUUAUAUGUAAACACAUAUUACGCAUGUCUGUUUGUUACAUGAAAUUCUGAUUGAAUGUAUAUAGUACAUAUGUAAACAUAUUAGUACAUGUAAAUUAAUGUUUAUGGGAUAAUUACAAGCUAUUGCAAUCCUUUUAUGAAGAUAAGCUUAUAUUAUUUUAUAACAAGUAAUGUUAUGUGACAUUUAUACCUGUUUGUUUAAAGGCCCAUUAAGACUGAAAAAAAUAACACUUUUAUUUUUAAAAACUUUCAUUUUUUGUUCAAAAAGUCUCUAAUUGGCCAUAUAUCUAAGCCAUCUUGUUUUUGUUUUUUUUUUUUGCAUUUUGGCAACUAGUACAGUUAUGAUGAAUAAGUAUUUUAUAUGGAUGUGAAAUAACCAUUUUGUUUGCAUUUUUCGACACUAAUCAUAUUUUCUUUUCAAACUCAUUUUUGUCAGGGGAUAAGAAUAUCACAUGUUGUAAAUCUAUUAUUACAACAUAACCAAACACUUAUUAUUAUUCGCCCUUUUUACAAAAAAUAAAUAUCUAUACAUUUCUUACUUGUAAUGUGCCUUUUAACUUUAAAUAUAUAUGGAGUAAAUUCAUCUAGUAUAUAAAUAAACAUAUAAUUACAUGUAAUUGUUUAAUUACUAGGUAUAUGGAUGUUUUUGUUUAUUUUACAUUUAGGUAUGUUAUGUCUUAUUAACAUAUGCAUCAAACAUGUUUGUUUGUGAUUUGGAAUAUAGAUUAUAUCAUUCAAGUACAUCUGUAUACCUUUAUGCACAUGUAUAUGAUAACAAAUCUAUAUUGUCCAUAUUUAUACUUAAGUUAAGUUAAGAUAAGUUUAAUGUGGAAUAUGUCAAUGGUACAUACUUAUAUAUUUUACAUGAACAAUUAACUUGAAAUGUACAUUGAAAAGUAUCUAGACAAGUAGAAAUAAUUCUGUUUGUAUAAAUAUAAACUUGUCCGAGAGCACUUAUUAAUUUGAAAUGUGCACAAUUCUAUUCUCUUUAUUUAUAAGAACUUUGUUUGUUUAUUAGAAUAAGUUGGUUUUAAUGAAGAAUGAAGUAAAUAAAUGAUAAAAACUGUUUAAUUUGUCAUAAGCAAGAUGAUGAAAACUAGCAAAUUAAACAGUUCUAUUCGGUAUUACAUGUAUAUUAAUUAUAACUUUGUUAAAGUGUGUCUUGAUUUGUAAUUCUAUUAAUUGAUAAUUGAUAAAGUUAUGGAGAACUAUAUGGGAUUUAAAUUAUAGCAAUACACACUUCCUUUCAGCCAUUGAUUGACUAAAGAUUAUUUUUUUGUAUCAUGUCCAACAAUAAAUAUAGGUAUUUUUUAACUUGUAGAUUUUUAAAUUUCCUCACUGUAUUUAGAAUGAAUAGAUACAACAAAAAAUAACAAAGUAAUGUUCUAUUAGUGCAAAUAUAGUAUUAAUGUAAAUUGUUUUUGAUUAAUUAGAAAUAGCUUAAUAUGUUUUUUUAAAUGGCGGCAUGCAUAUCAGGUUAGAGAAAUGUUCAAAAUAUAUAACUAUUAAAUCUUGUCAGAGCACUGGGUUAUGUUAUUAAUGUAAUACAAUGUACUUUUAAAUUAGUAAAAUGUAUUUGUUUGCUUGUUUUGAUAGCAUGAGUGUGUGACUGUUCGUAAUAAAAAAUGUACAGAACUCA